rnacentral:lncRNA from 1 species
GUCUCACGAUUCUUCUCUGUUCUAAUCCCUUACUCCUCUAGUCUACCUAUUAUCCUUUCAUCAUCUCAUCUCAUCAUGUCAGAUUCAGUUUCCACUAAAGAACUUGAUCCAGCUAGAAAACAUGCAACUCCUGUUGUUGGUAAGCAUGGUAGUUGGAUGUGUAUCUACUGCAAAAAAGUAACAAGCGGUGGAGUACAGCGAGCUAAGCA